CCUACGGGUGGCAGCAGUGGGGGAUAUUGCACAAUGGGGGAAACCCUGAUGCAGCGACGCCGCGUGAGGGAAGAAGUAUUUCGGUAUGUUAAGCUCUAUUAGUACGGAGGAAAACGACGGUACGUGUUUAUGAAUCCCCGGCCAACUACGCUCCAGCAGCCGUGGUAAUAUGCAGGGGGCCGGCGUGAUCCGGAUUUACUGGGGGUAAAGGGGGUGUAUACGGCAGCACAGGUCUGGAGUGAAAUGCCGGGGCUUAACCCCGGAACUGCUUUGGAAACUGUGUAGCUUGAGUGCAGGAGAGGUAAGUGGAAUUCCUGGUGUAGCGGUGAAAUGCGUAGAUAUUAGGAAGAACACCGGUUGCGAAGGCAGCUUACUGGCCUGUAACUGACGUUGAGGCUCGAAAGCGUGGGGAGCGAACAGGAUUAGAUACCCCGGUAGUC
rnacentral:rRNA from 1 species